rnacentral:rRNA from 1 species
UACGGAGGGUCCAAGCGUUAUCCGGAAUCAUUGGGUUUAAAGGGUCCGUAGGCGGUUUUGUAAGUCAGUGGUGAAAGCCCAUCGCUCAACGGUGGAACGGCCAUUGAUACUGCAAGACUUGAAUUAUUGGGAAGCAACUAGAAUAUGUAGUGUAGCGGUGAAAUGCUUAGAGAUUACAUGGAAUACCAAUUGCGAAGGCAGGUUGCUACCAAUACAUUGACGCUGAUGGACGAGAGCGUGGGGAGCGAACAGG